rnacentral:lncRNA from 13 species
GUGUGGGUCUGGAGGUAAACCCUGUCAAUAGAUGGACUCAGAGAGAGUGUGGGUCUGGAGGUAAACCCUGUCAAUAGAUGGACUCAGAGAGAGUGUGGGUCUGGAGGUAAACCCUGUCAAUGGAUGGACUCAGAGAGUGUGUGGGUCUGGAGGUAAACCCUGCAAUAGAUGGACUCAGAGAGAGUGUACUCUCUCUACAGAGUGAGGAUCUGUACAGGGCCUCUUCUAUAACGGUGUGAUUGUCAGUGAGGAUUAUAUCAUAUUAUUAUUAUAAAUUGACCACCCCCUGACCCCACUGGGUCGUGUUCAUUAGGCACCAAACGGAAUGAAAAACUAAGGGACAAUCUAUGCUCAGAAACACUACUUUUCCAUUGCAAAACAUGUUUUUAUGUUUUCUGUUGCAUGUCCUAAUGAACACAACCCUGUUCAGGACAGGAAGGAACAUCAUCCAUACAGCCCCUCCAUAUCCCAGGCCAGCCCAGGGAGAAAGCUGAGUUACAGAGCAGCCAUCACAAGAAAUAUAAAACAAAACUUCAACAUCACAAAAUGUCUCGUCUGAACAUCGAUGACAACAGAACAAACAAAUGACUAACAAAAACUACUGUAAUUAUUCUCAAAACGAUGGGCAUACCGUCAUGGAAUAUAAAGUAUGGACAUACCGUAUGGAAUAUAAAGUAUGGACAUACCGUAUGGAAAAUGGAAAUGUAAGACCUUUAAAGAAAGAUGGAGAGAGAGUGAGUAGAGGGGGAGGGGUAUUUGGCUCUUCAGGGGAAUGUUUCUUGUGUUGAGAUGCUCCUCUCACCUGUCCUCUUCUCCUCUCACCUCCCCUCCUAUACCCACAUAACAUGGUUCACUCAACAUUCUACAUCCAUCAUAUCUCUGUGACGCCAGCUUAUGGAAGGACCCUAGUCCACAGAGAAAGGUGUCCGUUUCAAGCCUGAGCGUAAAUGAAGGGAAAACCAAGGUAGUGAAGAUGGAAAGAGAAAGACAGAAUGUUUCCAGAGAGCCACAAGUACAAGUUGGCAGGUCCAUGUUUUGUAAAACGUAACAAAGACAUUGGUGUGUACGGUAUAAGUGCAUGUUGAAUGCAUUAAUCCAACCAUACGGAUUCUAACAUAAGUCAAUUGUUCUAAAGUCUGUGAAUUAACCCCACUUCCUUGGAAAAGUGAAGUGAGGCAGUUUGUAGUGUGGCUGUGUUCUGUGACCAGCCCAGCUGUACGUAGCAGUAAAGCCUGAUUCACACCGUAGGACCAAACCCUGCCUAACUGUAGCAGCCUGGCCUGGUUACGGCAUGAUGCUGAACCAUGCUCAACAGAACAAUGUGAAAAGAAAAUCCCAGCCAGCACGGUACGGUUUGAGUCAGUCCUAUAGUGUCAAUCAGCCU